rnacentral:rRNA from 1 species
AGCGAACGCUGGCGGCAGGCCUAACACAUGCAAGUCGAACGAACUCUUCGGAGUUAGUGGCGGACGGGUGAGUAACACGUGGGAACGUGCCUUUAGGUUCGGAAUAACUCAGGGAAACUAGUGCUAAUACCGAAUGUGCCCUUCGGGGGAAAGAUUUAUCGCCUUUAGAGCGGCCCGCGUCUGAUUAGCUAGUUGGUGAGGUAAAGGCUCACCAAGGCUACGAUCAGUAGCUGGUCUGAGAGGGUGACCAGCCACAUUGGGACUGAGACACGGCCCAAACUCCUACGGGAGGCAGCAGUGGGGAAUCUUGCGCAAUGGGCGAAAGCCUGACGCAGCCAUGCCGCGUGGAUGAUGAAGGUCUUAGGAUUGUAAAAUCCUUUCACCGGUGAAGAUAAUGACUGUAGCCGGAGAAGAAGCCCCGGCUAACUUCGUGCCAGCAGCCGCGGUAACAC